rnacentral:tRNA from 1 species
GGGGGUGUAGCUCAGCUGGGAGAGCACCUGCUUUGCAAGCAGGGGGUCAGGAGUUCGAUUCUCCUCAUCUCCA